AUGGAGGCGCUCAUCUCCGCAGUUCUUGGAGAUAUUGUCAGCAGAGCUAUAUCUGUUGUGGUCGACAAGUGCCGCGAGCAGACAACCACCGAGGAGGAUCUUGAGAGACUGCGCCAGCUGCUUCUGAGGAUAUCUAUUGUUGUCGAGGAGGCCGAGGGGCGGCUUGUAACAAACCGAGGGAUGAUCCGUCAGGUUUGCAUGAUGAGAGAGCAGAUGUUCAGAGGAUACUACCUUCUCGAUGCAUUCAGGUGCAGAGAGAAGAAUACCGAGGAAGACGAGGUGAGCCACUGCUCUUUCGCUCGGUCCGCAUUCAGUCCAGCUAAGCGCUUUCGCCGCCUUUCUAGCAGCACUCAAACUGAGAGCAUGAUAAUAGCAUGUAGAGAAAGAAGCAGUAAGGAGUUGAAACAGGUUGUACUAGGCCUAGAAACCAUGGUUGCUGACAUGAAGGAGUUUGCUGUGUUUCUUAUGAGCUACCCUCGCAUGCACCGCCAGCCUCGUAGCACGUACCUGUUCAUGGACAGGUGUAUGUUUGGCCGCCAGAUGGAGAUGGAACACGCCAUCAACUUCUUGCUACAAGCGGAUCAGCAGAUUCUAGGGAAUGGAGAUCCUGGUGUCCUUCCAAUUGUUGGUUCUGCACUUAUUGGGAAAAGCACUCUUGUGGAGCAUGUUUGCGACGACGAGCGGGUGCGCAACCACUUCUCGUCGAUCUUGUUCUACACUGGAGACAGUCUCACUACAGAUGAAACGGCAACAACUUUCAGAGACAACUGUACAAUCAAGCACCAAAACAUCAACAUCGCCUCAGUUGAAGAAAGAUCCUUGCUUGUCGUCGAGCUCUGCGAAGACUUCGACGAAGACGCAUGGAGGGGGCUGCUGCGCUCUUCCACGAGAUCCCUGAAACAUGUGAGCAAGAUCAUAAUCACUAGCCGAUCAGAGAAGGUGGCCAGUCUCGGAACAACUGAGGCGGUCAGGUUAGAACGCCUGCCUGAAGAGGCCUACUGGUACUUCUUCAGGACGCUGGCGUUCGGGAGCACGGACCCCGAGGAUCACCCGGAGCUGACGUCCAUCGGCAUGGAGCUCGCCGUCGAGAUGCGUGGCUCAUUCAUGAACGCGUUCAUCAGCGCCGGCCUGCUGCUGGGACUGGGCGCAGACCGUCUCCGUGCCCGGACCUGGCGCAGGGUCCUCGCACAUUUCAGGGACUACAGGCAGAAGAACACCCUGCUGCUGGGUGGCGAGUACCCGCUCGACCUCCAGUCCCGGUAUGUCUGGAGCAUGGCCCAAGCGCCGCAUCUGGGUCGUCUCAAGCUGUUCCUGCUGCGCGAUAGCUACCAGAGAGGGCCGGAUGAUCGCACCGAGGUGCCGAGGGUGACGGCGGUCGACCUCCUGUCCGGGAGCGCCGCCGUGCCGCUGGGCAGGUCUGAGGUGCUGUUCUGGAGGUCCCUCGUACCACCGUACUACAGUGACAUGAGAAGUUGA
rnacentral:rRNA from 1 species